AUUGAACGCUGGCGGCAGGCUUAACACAUGCAAGUCGAGCGAGCGGCGGACGGGUGUGUAAUGUCUGGGAAACCGCCUGAUGGAGGGGUAAAACUACUGGAAACGGUCGCUAAUACCGCAUACCAUCAGAUGUGCCCAGAUGGGAUUGGCUAGUAGGUGGGGUAAUGGCGCACCUAGGCGACGACCCCUAGCUGGUCUGAGAGGAUGACCAGCUACACUGGAACUGAUACACGGGCCAGACUCGUACGGGAGGUAGCAGUGGGGAAUAGUGCACAAUGGGCGCAAGCCGGAUGCAGCCAUGCCGCGGGUGUGAAGAAGGCCUUCGGGUUGUAAAGCACUUUCAGCGAGGAGGCGUUACUCGCAGAAGAAGCACCGACUAACUCCGUGCCAGCAGCCGCGGUAAUAC
rnacentral:rRNA from 1 species